GAAAGGUCCUGGAAGGGGAAAGAGUGGCAUGGAAAGGUCCUGGAAGGGGAAAGAUGGGGUCAGAAAGGUCCUGGAAGGGGAAAGAAUGGGGUCAGAAAGGUCCUGGAAGGGGAAAGAUGGGGUGGAAAGGUCCUGGAAGGGUAAAGGAAAAUUCCUACCUGGUUGGAAACCCCGCAGCGCUGAUGCGAACCGUCUCCAAAA